AAGAUCUUAGGUUAAUUUAAAACUUUAAGCUUUCAAGGUUUAUAAUAAAUAUAUAAAUUUAGAUCUUG
rnacentral:tRNA from 1 species